rnacentral:rRNA from 1 species
UCGUCUAUAUACGUAUAGCAUAUCAAUAAGCGGAGGAAAAGAAACUAACUAGGAUUCCCUCAGUAACGGCGAGUGAAGCGGGAAGAGCUCAAAUUUGAAAUCUUAAAGGGUUUCCCUUGACGAAUUGUAGUUUAAAGAAGUGUUUUCUGUUGGAGUUUCGGUAAAAGUUCUUUGGAAUAGGACAUCAUAGAGGGUGAGAAUCCCGUAUUUGACCAUUACUUUCCAACUGUGUGAUACACUUUCAAAGAGUCGGAUUGUUUGGGAAUGCAGUCCAAAAUGGGUGGUAAAUUUCAUCUAAAGCUAAAUAUUGGCGAGAGACCGAUAGCGAACAAGUACCGUGAGGGAAGGAUGAAAAGAACUUUGAAAAGAGAGUUAAACAGUACGUGAAAUUGUCAAAAGGGAAGCGUUUGACACCAGUGUUGUUUUCUCGAAAAUCAAUUAAAAAUGGCAGGAUUUUGUGUUGUAUUGACUUUAUCAGCUUUCUGCACUUUUUUCUUGUCUUUUUUAAUGCACUUUUCGUUUAACAAGUCAACAUCAAUUUCUUUUGUUGUAAAAGGAGUCAUUGGAAGGUGGCUUUCUUUUCGGAGAAAGUGUUUAUAGCCUUUGACUUCUGCAGUCGGAGAGAUUGAGGUCUGCAGCGUAGAUCCUUCGGGGUUAGAUAGCAUUUGUGCUAAGCUAUAGCCUUUCAUAGACAACUUGUUGACUAUGAUCAGUCAUGUAGCUUACUCGCUUAUGUUAUUUUACCUACGCUUAGGAUGUUGACGAUCAGCUGAGCGCG